rnacentral:rRNA from 1 species
UCAACUUGAGAGUUUGAUCCUGGCUCAGAACGAACGCUGGCGGCAGGCCUAACACAUGCAAGUCGAGCGCAUCCUUCGGGGUGAGCGGCGGACGGGUUAGUAACGCGUGGGAACGUACCCUUCUCUAUGGAAUAGCCUUGGGAAACUGAGAGUAAUACCAUAUACGCCCUUAGGGGGAAAGAUUUAUCGGAGAAGGAUCGGCCCGCGUCUGAUUAGAUAGUUGGUGGGGUAAUGGCCUACCAAGUCUACGAUCAGUAGCUGGUUUGAGAGGAUGAUCAGCAACACUGGGACUGAGACACGGCCCAG